GGAAUCUUGGACAAUGGGGGCAACCCUGAUCCAGCGAUGCCGCGUGAGUGAAGAAGGCCCUCGGGUCGUAAAGCUCUUUAGGGUGGGAAGAAAGGUAGCGACGGAUAAUGUAGCUACUGUGACGGUACUAACAGAAUAAGCAACGGCAAACGCUGUGCCAGCAGCCGCGGUAAUACAGAGGGUGCGAGCGUUAAUCGGAAUUACUGGGCGUAAAGGGCGCGUAGGCGGUGAUAUGAGUGUGGUGUGAAAGCCCUGGGCUUAACCUGGGAAGUGCAUCGCAAACGAUAUGACUGGAGUAUAUGAGAGGGUGGCGGAAUUUCCGGUGUAGCGGUGAAAUGCGUAGAGAUCGGAAGGAACGUCGAUGGCGAGGGCAGCCACCUGGCAUAAUACUGACGCUGAGGCGCGAAAGCGUGGGUAGC
rnacentral:rRNA from 1 species